rnacentral:rRNA from 1 species
AUACGAACCGGACAAACGUUAUUCGGAAUUAUUGGGCUUAAAGGGUGCGUAGGCGGCGCGGUAAGUGAGGUGUGAAAGCCCACGGCUCAACCGUGGAAUUGCGCUUCAUACUGCCGUGCUAGAGGGAGACAGAGGUAAGCGGAACUGAUGGUGGGGCGGUGAAAUGCGUUGAUAUUAUCAGGAACACCGGUGGCGAAAGCGGCUUACUGGGUCUCUUCUGACGCUGAGGCACGAAAGCUAGGGUAGCGAACGGGAUUAGAUACCCCAGUAGUCC